GGGUGAUUAGCUCAGCUGGGAGAGCACCUCCCUUACAAGGAGGGGGUCGGCGGUUCGAUCCCGUCAUCACCUACCA
rnacentral:tRNA from 14 species